AACGAACGCUGGCGGCGUGCCUAACACAUGCAAGUCGAGCGGGAAAGUUCCCUUCGGGGAGCGAGUACAGCGGCGAACGGGUGAGUAACACGUAGGCAACCUACCCUGGAGAUUGGGAUAACCUGCCGAAAGGCGGGCUAAUACCAGAUAAGACCACGAGGGCUGCGGCCCUUGAGGAAAAAGAUGGCCUCUGCUUGCAUGCUAUCGCUCCGGGAUGGGCCUGCGCGCCAUUAGCUAGUUGGUGAGGUAACGGCUCACCAAGGCCGAGAUGGCUAGCUGGUCUGAGAGGAUGGCCAGCCACACUGGGACUGAGACACGGCCCAGACUCCUACGGGAGGCAGCAGUGGGGAAUAUUGCGCAAUGGUCGAAAGACUGACGCAGCGACGCCGCGUGGAGGAUGACGCC
rnacentral:rRNA from 1 species